UAAUAGCCUAAACCAAAUUAAAAGUAAUAAUUUUUUUUGUUGGUUUUCACCAUCAGUAUCCGGCCCACUAUAUCGUCUAAUUUGGUUUGGGGUUAAUUCUGGCAUCGAGUGGUUCUAACCUCCUUCCAAUUUCAGUUGCGGAGGAUCGAACCGUAAUUCCCUACCAAAUUCAACGUCAAUCACCAUUAGAUCAACUAACCAUCGAUGAAUUAUAUGUAAUAAGUUUGAGUACAUCUCAAUUGUGAUACACCAUUGAUUAUAAUCGUUCAAUCAUUAAUCAUAUUUUGGUAAUAAAAAAAUUACUCAUA
rnacentral:lncRNA from 1 species